GACGAACGCUGGCGGCGUGCUUAACACAUGCAAGUCGAACGGAAAGGCCCUGCUUGCAGGGUACUCGAGUGGCGAACGGGUGAGUAACACGUGGGUGAUCUGCCCUGCACUUCGGGAUAAGCUUGGGAAACUGGGUCUAAUACCGGAUAGGAGCCAUCUUUAGUGUGGUGGUUGGAAAGUUUUUUCGGUGUAGGAUGAGCUCGCGGCCUAUCAGCUUGUUGGUGGGGUAAUGGCCUACCAAGGCGGCGACGGGUAGCCGGCCUGAGAGGGUGUACGGCCACAUUGGGGCUGAGAUACGGCCCAGACUCCUACGGGAGGCAGCAGUGGGGAAUAUUGCACAAUGGGCGCAAGCCUGAUGCAGCGACGCCGCGUGGGGGAUGAAGGCCUUCGGGUUGUAAACUCCUUUCGCUAGGGACGAAGCUUUUUGUGACGGUACCUAGAUAAGAAGCACCGGCUAACUACGUG
rnacentral:rRNA from 1 species